rnacentral:rRNA from 1 species
UGGGGAAUAUUGGACAAUGGGCGCAAGCCUGAUCCAGCCAUGCCGCGUGAGUGAUGAAGGCCCUAGGGUUGUAAAGCUCUUUCAACGGUGAAGAUAAUGACGGUAACCGUAGAAGAAGCCCCGGCUAACUUCGUGCCAGCAGCCGCGGUAAUACGAAGGGGGCUAGCGUUGUUCGGAAUUACUGGGCGUAAAGCGCACGUAGGCGGAUACUUAAGUCAGGGGUGAAAUCCCGGGGCUCAACCCCGGAACUGCCUUUGAUACUGGGUAUCUCGAGUCCGGAAGAGGUGAGUGGAAUUCCGAGUGUAGAGGUGAAAUUCGUAGAUAUUCGGAGGAACACCAGUGGCGAAGGCGGCUCACUGGUCCGGUACUGACGCUGAGGUGCGAAAGCGUGGGGAGCAAACA